rnacentral:rRNA from 1 species
AACGCGAAGAACCUUACCUACCCUUGACAUGGCUGGAAUCCUUCAGAGAUGAGGGAGUGCUCGAAAGAGAACCAGUACACAGGUGCUGCAUGGCUGUCGUCAGCUCGUGUCGUGAGAUGUUGGGUUAAGUCCCGCAACGAGCGCAACCCUUGUCAUUAGUUGCUACGAAAGGGCACUCUAAUGAGACUGCCGGUGACAAACCGGAGGAAGGUGGGGAUGACGUCAAGUCCUCAUGGCCCUUAUGGGUAGGGCUUCACACGUCAUACAAUGGUACAUACAGAGGGCCGCCAACCCGCGAGGGGGAGCUAAUCCCAGAAAGUGUAUCGUAGUCCGGAUUGUAGUCUGCAACUCGACUACAUGAAGUUGGAAUCGCUAGUAAUCGCGGAUCAGCAUGUCGCGGUGAAUACGUUCCCGGGCCUUGUACACACCGUAGUAC